CUCCAAGUGCGAAUGCACCUACCAACUACUAUAAAUUAACUGAUAAUAGAUGUAAAACACCCAAAGAGUUUUAGGAUCCUAGUUAGCCCCCCAAGCUAACUGCUCACCGCGUGGCACCUAGACUACCUACGCUGAUCUUACGGACUCCCUCCAAGUGCGAAUGCACCUACCAACUACUAUAAAUUAACUGAUAAUAGAUGUAAAACACCCAAAGAGUUUUAGGAUCCUAGUUAGCCCCCCAAGCUAACUGCUCACCGCGUGGCACCUAGACUACCUACGCUGAUCUUACGGACUCCCUCCAAGUGCGAAUGCACCUACCAACUACUAUAAAUUAACUGAUAAUAGAUGUAAAACACCCAAAGAGUUUUAGGAUCCUAGUUAGCCCCCCAAGCUAACUGCUCACC